rnacentral:rRNA from 2 species
CGAACGCUGGCGGCAGGCUUAACACAUGCAAGUCGAGCGCCCCGCAAGGGGAGCGGCAGACGGGUGAGUAACGCGUGGGAACGUACCUUUUGCUACGGAAUAACUCAGGGAAACUUGUGCUAAUACCGUAUGUGCCCUUCGGGGGAAAGAUUUAUCGGCAAAGGAUCGGCCCGCGUUGGAUUAGCUAGUUGGUGAGGUAAAGGCUCACCAAGGCGACGAUCCAUAGCUGGUCUGAGAGGAUGAUCAGCCACACUGGGACUGAGACACGGCCCAGACUCCUACGGGAGGCAGCAGUGGGGAAUAUUGGACAAUGGGCGCAAGCCUGAUCCAGCCAUGCCGCGUGAGUGAUGAAGGCCCUAGGGUUGUAAAGCUCUUUCACCGGUGAAGAUAAUGACGGUAACCGGAGAAG